GCAUCGGUGGUUCAGUGGUAGAAUGCUUGCCUGCCACGCCGGCGGCCCUGGUUCGAUUCCCGGCCAAUGCA
rnacentral:tRNA from 1 species